rnacentral:rRNA from 1 species
GAGCUGGAUUCGCUAGUAAUCGCGCAUCAGCCACGGCGCGGUGAAUACGUUCCCGGGCCUUGUACACACCGCCCGUCAAGCCAUGGAAGCCGGGGGUGCCUGAAGUGCGCUGCCGCGAGGAGCGCCCUAGGGUAAAACCGGUGACUGGGGCUAAGUCGUAACAAGGUAUC